rnacentral:tRNA from 1 species
AGGGAAUGAAGUAUCUAAAAGAAGCUGCUAACUAUCUUUUAAAGCGGUUUAAAUCCGUUUUUCCCUU